GCCAGUCUUCCUCAGCUGAAAGAGGAGGAUUGGCAGUAGAUGUUAGCUCAGGGCUAAUCUUCCUGAAAAAAAAAAGAAAAAAAGUUCAAGAAAGGAAAUAGAUAUCAUACAAACACUAACCCAUGUAGUACACUAAUUAUGUAUUAUAUCAGGAUUAACCCGUAUAUUAAUACCAAAGUUCACCUCAGAGCAAAGAAAAUUAGCAGGAAUAAAAGAAUAAAGAGAGAUAUUACAUAGCAGUAAAAGGGUCAAUUUAUUAUGAAGGCAUACAAUUCUGUAUGUAUAUUCACCUAACGAUGAAACUUCCAAAUACAUGAAGUAAAAACUGAUGGAAAUUUUUAAAAAAAGGAAAAAUCCACAAUUAUAAUUGGAAUCACUUCUUGGCCUUUGGCUAAGACAAAGUGUGGGAUAAUUGGAGACAUCAACACUCCUUUCUCUAUAAUUGUUAGAACAAGUAGACAAAAAGUUAGUGAGGACAGAGGAAACUGGAACAACACUAUCAAUCAACUCGACCUAUUUGAUAUUUAUAGAACAUUCUGUCCAAUGACAACAGAAUACACAUUGUUUCCUAUUGGAAUUGGAUAUUCAACAACAUUAAUCACAUUCUGGCACUAUAAAAAGCAAAAAACAAACAAGAAAAUAAAACUGUACCAAAUUUAAAAUAAUUGGAAUGAUACAAAAUAUGUUUUCUGAACAAAAGAAAUUAAACUAAAUAUCAAAAAUAGAAAGAUAGUUAGAAAAUGCCCCAUAUAUUUGGAAAUUUUAAAACACUCUUCUAAAUGAUUCCUGGAUAAAAAGCAGAAGUCUCAAAGGAAUUAGAAAAUAUUUUGAAGUGAAUAAAAAUGAAAAUAAAACAUCAAAAUUUGUGGGAUACAGCUAAAACAGUGCUUUGAGAAACAUUUAUAGUAUUAAAUCUUUCUUUAGGAAUAACAGUAGGUCUCAAAGAACCAUUUCAGUUUAUACCCAAAGUAGAAAAAUGAGAAAAAAAUACACAGAAUAAGAAGAAUGAAUGUUGACCCUCUCCAUGGCCACAAAGUGUUUCCUGUAUUAUUAAUGUUCUUAUGUUGUAGGUGGGUCUUAUUGGUACUAUCCUGUGUUCGUUAUUGACACAUAAACCGAAAAUAGGAUGAAUUCAUUGUAAAGGAUAACAGAGUUUGCUUUGAAACAGUAAAACCCAUUCUGCCAGGGUAAGAAAUUUUCAAGAUAAUCAAGAAUCCACAAAAGUGAGUUCCCAGUGUCUUAAAAUUUGAGUAACUUAAUAAGUCUUCAAGUACUCAAAGCAAAAUUUUAUAACUAACAAAAUAUUUUAGCUGUCUUAUAUUUGGCUAAGUUCCAUGAUCCAAACUUAAAAAAAGAAAAAAAAAGUGAACCAUAAACUUUACUUUAUCCAGGGCCAGGAAGAUGGAAAAGAAAUAAUUUCACUAUGAAAUUUUGCUUUUGCAAUUCUUUUAUUUGAAGAAUUUUUCAAAACUCAACAUCUCAGGAUGACUUGUCUUGGUCUCAUGAGACAUGUAUAAGCCGUCCUGAGGGAGAAGAAUCUAUUCAAUUUUUUAAACCUACCUUCAUUAAAAGAAAACCUGUUUUUAAAAAAUCUGUCUCCCUAAUGAAUUAUAAUCCUGAGUUUUAAUCCUCACAACUGAGAAUUCUACUUCACUAUACAACAAAAACUUCUCAUAACGAGCUCUGUUUUUAAGAAAUGAUUAAAAAUUGUACAUCCAUUAUUAAAUUUCAACUCAGUCUUUUAUAUUUCCUUUCAUUAUAUUUAUCUUUUAUCUGCAUUUACCUUCAUUCAUGCAGUAAAUCUGUCUUUAACAGCUGUAAUACACUGGGCACUGUUUCUGAUGUUGGUAAUACAGCAAAGAAGAUAUCAGUUUAGUGAAGAAGAUAGACAAAUACGCGGAACAAAGCACGAUUGCAGCAGAAUAUUGACAUCACCGUUGGAACAAAGGGUUUUGGAAAGCUUGUCUCAGAAGUGCCUCGGUACCCCUUCUGCUUCUGGUAUAAAACAAGUUAGCCCUGAGCUAACAUCUGCUGCCAAUCCUCCUCUUUUUUGCUGAGCAAGACUGGCCCUGAGCUAACAUCCGUGCCCAUCUUCCUCUAUUUUAUAUGUGGGAUGCCUGCCACAGCAUGACUUGACAAGUGGUGCGUAGGUCUGCACCCAGGAUCCGAACCAGCGAACCCCAGACCACCAAAGCAGAAUGUGCAAACUUAACCGCUGCGCCACCAGGCCAGCCCCACUGACAGCUGUUUUGAUUGGUCAACACCUAUACUGAAUCUAUUAUUAAAUAUUUUAAUACUGAC
rnacentral:lncRNA from 1 species